rnacentral:pre_miRNA from 1 species
GCCGACUGAGGUAGUAGGUUGUAUAGUUGAGAAAUUCUGUCGAACUAUUGCAACCUGCUAGCUUGGUCGGC